rnacentral:rRNA from 1 species
AUUGAACGCUGGCGGCAGGCAUAACACAUGCAAGUCGAGCGAGCGGCGGACGGGUGAGUAAUGUAUGGGGCCUGCCCGAUCGAGGGGGAUAACUACUGGAAACGGUGGCUAAUACCGCAUACUAUCGGAUAACCCAUAUGGGAUUAGCUAGUAGGUGGGGGAAAGGCUCACCUAGGCGACGAGCUCUAGCUGGUCUGAGAGGAUGAUGAGCCACACUUGGACUGAGAACAGGCCCAGACUCCGACGGAGGCAGCAGGGUGGAAAAUUGCCCAAUGGGAGCAAGCCUGAUGAAGCCAUGCCGCGUGUAUGAAGGAGGCCCUAGGGUUGUAAAGUACUUUCAGGGGGGAGGCGUUACCAGCAGAAGAAGCACCGGCUAACUCCGUGCCAGCCGCCGCGGUAAUUC